rnacentral:rRNA from 1 species
AGCGAACGCUGGCGGCAGGCCUAACACAUGCAAGUCGAACGAAGUCUUCGGACUUAGUGGCGGACGGGUGAGUAACACGUGGGAACGUGCCUUUAGGUUCGGAAUAACUCAGGGAAACUUGUGCUAAUACCGAAUGUGCCCUUCGGGGGAAAGAUUUAUCGCCUUUAGAGCGGCCCGCGUCUGAUUAGCUAGUUGGUGAGGUAAAGGCUCACCAAGGCUACGAUCAGUAGCUGGUCUGAGAGGAUGACCAGCCACAUUGGGACUGAGACACGGCCCAAACGCCUACGGGAGGCAGCAGUGGGGAAUCUUGCGCAAUGGGCGAAAGCCUGACGCAGCCACGCCGCGUGGAUGAUGAAGGUCUUAGGAUUGUAAAAUCCUUUCACCGGUGAAGAUAAUGACUGUAGCCGGAGAAGAAGCCCCGGCUAACUUCGUGCCAGCCGCCGCAGUAAAAC